rnacentral:rRNA from 1 species
CUCCACCCUAUGUUAUUGAAACCUUUGUUGCUUUGGCGAGCCGCUUCGGCCACCGGCGUCUGCUGGUGUGCGCUCGCCAGAGGACCACAAACUCUUGUUUAUUAAUGUCGUCUGAGUACUAUAUAAUAGUUAAAACUUUCAACAACGGAUCUCUUGGUUCUGGCAUCGAUGAAGAACGCAGCGAAAUGCGAUAAGUAAUGUGAAUUGCAGAAUUCAGUGAAUCAUCGAAUCUUUGAACGCACAUUGCGCCCCGUGGUAUUCCGCGGGGCAUGCCUGUUCGAGCGUCAGUACAACACUCAAGCUCUGCUUGGUAUUGGACCGCAUCAGUUCUGAUCGGUCUUAAAAUCAGUGGCGGUGCCAUCGUGCUCUAAGCGUAGUAAUACUCCUCGCUACAGGGUCCUCGGUGCGUGCUUGCCAGCAACCCCCAACUUCUAAGUUUGACCUCGGAUCAGGUAGGGAUACCCGCUGAACUUAAGCAUAUC